UAUUUUAUAUUGAGUUUGAAAUGUGACUACACACUACAUUGUUCUACACUUUCGUGCUUUCUAAAUGUUUCCUCUGAAAGAACACACAAAACAUUACUGCGAUUGAAUAAGUAUGAUAAAAUCAUGAUACUAUUGGCAUGGAAAGUAUUUCUAAUCUUCAUUUGACAUGGAAAAUAUUUUACUCGUAUAUGCACUGCUGUUAUUGUUGAUAUUCAGAACUAAGAAUAUUAGUGCAAUAAAAAAUAAUGAAAAAGAAUACUUAUAUAAAAUAAUAAAAUGGUAACAAUUUAUACAUACAUGAUGCAUGGAAUUUUUUAUCGGCUUUAAAAAGUUGUACACUUUUAAAAAUAUACAAUAUCGUUUUUUUUAUGCAUAAUUGUCUUCUCCUGCAAGAUAUGAAAUAUGUAUAAGAUUUAUCAUUUGAUCACUUAUUCGUAUACUAUCUUAUGUAUCAUGCUUGUAUCUCUCGAAUUUCAUUAUUACUAUAUUCCAUUUGUUCUUUUAUACAAGACAUAUGAUCCUGCGACAUAUAGAGAUAAUGCACUAUGUUACAUAAAAAUAACGAUACUCUUUUUGGGUAUACUGACAACAAUUAAAAUAAAAUGUCCUUUAAAUUAUAUUUAUAUAUAUUAUCACUGUGUGUGUGUGUGUACCAUUUGUCUUCACUCUCGUCAGCGGUUGUAUUGUUAGUAACAAUUUGUUACAUCUCGUUGUUAAUACUUAAUAAUUGCAACUUGCAAAAUAUGUGAUAUUCGCUCAAACGCAGCACACAGAUAGGGAUAUAAGAUAACGUACUCUAUAUAUGUACUCGUGAAAUAUCGGCAAUUUAUUAGGCUCAAAAGAAUUUUAGUAUAUCCAAAUUUUUAAAUCUGUGAAGAAUUCUUAUUAAGUCACGAUUGCCGUCGAGAGUGUAAUUGAACAUUAUGUAUGUACAAACGAUUAUUAUUUCUUACUGUAAUACAUUACAUAGUUUUGCUUGUUUUUCUCUGUAUAUACGUCAGUCUUGGAUUGCUUUUGCCAGAAAACGCUUCAUUUCCACUGUGCAUAGAGAGUCGUUCUUGAUAUAUGUAGAAAAAGAAUAUGUAAGCGCGCGAGUUCACAUAAUAAAACUUUAUCUGCAAAAAAUAUUAUCAUCGCGUUUUUUCCAGUAUUGUAAAAGAAUCUCUUAAAAAUCGGAAUAAUUUUAGGUCUCGAUUUUCUCAUAAUUUUAGGACAUGUAUAUAAAUCUUGUGCACAUAUUACGAUAAAACAAAGAAUAAAAAUAUGAUAUGGGAAUGUAUCUGACGCUGAUCAAUUUCGGAGAAAUUACUUUGACUUUCUCAAAGAUUCCAACGAUCAUUACAUGAUUAUUCUUUUUCCACACAUGCACUCUCCAAUAUACAUCCAUCAAUUACUCACAUAUGUAUUGCGAGUUUGUAUGUGAUGGCAAAAAAGAAAAAAAUGUCGUGAAAUACUAUAUACUAUUUAGAAACAGUUUGUUUCUUUGAUUUUGCGUCAUAACAUUGAGACUGUAUAUAUAUCAUAAA